UGUGGGAUCUGGGAUGAUUAUUUUGUCUCUUUGUCGCAAAUGUUGGAGACUCCCGGGAUGAUUAUUUUGUUAUUAAUAGACCUUUCUUAAGGACGUGGUAUGGAUGGAUGAAGGCAUAGAACAGGCGCAUCCCAGCCUUCUCUUACCCAAAUUUGUGAGGCAAGCAUCCUUCCAUCGUUUUAUGGAUUGAAGAAGGCGCACAAUGAGAUCGGUCCACCCUUCUCUUACCCGGAUCAGCCAAAGGAGCAUCCUUCCAUGACAACGGCCAAAUCAUGUACCGAUGUACGAACAAAGAAUGCUCUGAUUACAG